CCCGCUGAACUUAAGCAUAUCAAAAA
rnacentral:rRNA from 1 species